rnacentral:tRNA from 1 species
AAGGCUGACAUACGCGUGUUGCUAACACGCAAACCCAGA